rnacentral:lncRNA from 1 species
AUGGACAUAUCGAACAACUCCACACAUACCAAUGAGAGAAUCGUCAUUCAAUCUGGCUUAUGGAACAGAAACGAUGAUUUCACUUGAGAUCGGAUUACUAUCAGCAAGGAUAGAGCAAUACAGUGAGCCGAGUAAUUCAGAAUGUCAGAGAGUCGAUCUAAACUUACUUUCAGAAGUCCGACUGUAAGCUCAAGUUCGGAUGGCAAUAAAUUGGCAAA